CUACGGGUGGCUGCAGUGAGGAAUUUUGCGCAAUGGGGGGAACCCUGACGCAGCAACGCCGUGUGAGUGAAGAAGGCCUUUGGGUCGUAAAGCUCUGUCAACUGGGAAGAAGUUACUGUGCUUUAAUAGAGUGCAGUAUUGACGGUACCAGUGGAGGAAGCGUCGGCUAACUCCGUGCCAGGCAGCCGCGGUAACACGGGGGACGCAAGCGUUAUUCGGAAUUAUUGGGCGUAAAGGGCGCGUAGGCGGUCUUGUCGGUCAGGUGUGAAAGCCCGGGGCUCAACCCCGGACGUGCACUUGAAACAGCAAGACUUGAGUACGGGAGAGGAAAGCGGAAUUCCUGGUGUAGAGGUGAAAUUCGUAGAUAUCAGGAGGAACACCGAUGGCGAAGGCAGCUUUCUGGACCGAAACUGACGCUGAGGCGCGAAGGCGUGGGUAGCGAACGGGAUUAGAUACCCUAGUAGUC
rnacentral:rRNA from 1 species